ACGCGGAGAGCAGCAGAGAAAUAGAGAAGAGCAACGGAGAACUGGAGAACUGGAGCGUGAGGCCAAACUAAACAGCAGAUCUGUUCCAAAAUCCCAAACCGUCAACAAGCAACUAAUUUCGCAGUCUGUCAGUGUGGGACCACCGAUUUCGAGUUAUUAUAGACAAACAACCGGCGGCGACUAAGCCAAGUCUAUUAACAGAGCAAACAAAGGCAAGCCGCCAAAGGAAGCAGCGGCGGAGGAGUCUCCAGAAUCACCAGAAAGUAUCCAGAAUCGAGGAAAGGAAAAUCCAACAGAAUCCAGCGAAAAGGCAAAAGAAUGUGAGCCAGGAGACAGCCGGCAAUGAGAGGGCCAAAACGA